AUAAACCAAGUAUAAUGUAUAUUUCACUUACAAUGAAAAGGGCUAUUUAAUAGGGUUUAUU
rnacentral:tRNA from 1 species